UAAGCUUAUUCAUCAAUGAGUAUUUAAGAGAUUUGUAGAAUGCCUGUCAACUAGAACAUUAUUUACGUAUUAUGAUAACACAUUUAAAAAAUUAAGUGAUAUGCUAUUUCUAUAAUUAACUUGAAAGUUCCGUGUAUUUCAACAUGCUCAAGUUCUCGGAAUGUGAUUAGGUCUUUUUCUUAGAAACGCGAAAUUCGAACAUCGAGAUACAAUAAAUUAUAACUAUAUGUGUGUUUAAAAGGUGUGGUACGACAGUGAUUAUUUGUUAGAUGCCAGUGUGUUUUAUAGUUAUAUUUAUGUUAUUAUGAAGUCUAGCUUAAUUCGUAUACGUUUACAUAAGUUCGAAAGAAGUUGUAAGAAAUAUAUUUUAUUGGUCAUUUGGCAAUCUAACGGUCAACAUAAACAGGGAAAAUUUGCAGAAGCAUUUAUUCGUUACCGUGUCCGUCACUUGACGGUACAUACAUUUUUGUCCUGAUGAUCUUGCAUUUUCUAAAUUAAAUGAAAGCGACCAAUAGUUUAAAGUAAAAAUAAUUAACAUGAUCAAGGUCGUUGUUCUUGAAACCUUUUUAUUAUGGGAAAAUUGGGUUUUUUUUCUUUAUUUUCAUGUCUUGGUCCAAAACUGAAACUCAUUAUGAUCAAAUAUACAUAUAAGAUAAGGGAUCUUAUGGAUUUCAAGAUUUGAUUUCAUUGCCGCAGCUGGUACAUGUACAAUUGUUGCACAAUAAUCAAUAUAAUGAUGUAAACUUUUUAAGAUUCCAUUUCAAGUAGGAUUUGAUAUAUUUAUAUUUUACCCUGUGGUUGAAACAAAUACAAAGGAAAAAGGUGUACCUCUUUACUCUUUGUGUGAAGUAGCUAAUGGAACAUCAAUAUAAAGGAUAGAAAAAUACCUACAGGAACAUUGAUAAGUAUUUGUACUAUUAAGAAACUACGGUUAUAUCACUCUCAGGAAGAAUUGCCCCUUAGUAUAUUCGGCUAAAUGUUUCUAUCCCUUUUGAUCAUAUUGCUUUUUAAUAUUAAAGAUUAAACAUCCUUGACUAUAACAAUUUGCAGUAGGACUGUCCUGAUGAAAGGAAAUCCAGAGAAGCAUUUCGGACUCAUCAAAAUUAUUUACAAACUAUUUUUGUAUUGCAAUUGGUUUAAGUUAAGGUUAAAAAUGAAUAAACAUACUUCCAUAAAAGAGUGGUCUCUGCAACAUUAAAACAAUUAUAUUUGCAUGGUGACAUAAUGUAUGUAUGUAACACAAAAUGUUUGUUGUCUGUUUUCUACAGUUUUAUAACAGGGCCGUAAUAUUGCUUAAUGCUAAAAUGUUUUACUUUUCAGGUUUCUGAAGUCUGUCUUAACUGGUGCCUUUUAUAUGAGGGAUGAUGCGCUUCUCCUUUAUGACGCCAUCAAAGAUUACGUUCAGAAAUAUGUGACUCACUACUAUGUAUUGAAUGUCUAAAGUGGUUAACAAGAUGAAAUGAAAUACAAGACUGGGGUGCAGAAAUUGUUAUGUCAGUAGAUGAUGGUGGUGCUGGAAUUAAGAACGCACAGCUUUGGGGAUGAAUUGUGCAUCGGUUAUAUAUCAUGAGAUGACGGGCGUCAAAAAUGGAGGGAGAUUUGAAACAACUGACCAACUAGUUAUGACAUUGACACCAAUCAUUUAUGCAUGUAGCGUUGGACAUGCAGUAGCCAACUACCAACAGUAUGAAGAGUAUGGAGAUCCAUUUAAUUACUUAUUUAUUAUGCAUGGAGUUCCUCCUAAGGAAAAGUGAGAAGGAUAAACAGAAACUUGGUGAUUUUGAGGAACUGACAUUUACAGAUCCACCACCCAUUCAAAUACUAGAAGAGUUUCAACAAAACUUGAGAGAUAUUGGUAAAACAAUUGACGAACGGAACAAAUCGAGAGAACCAGCUUAUGAUUGGCUUCAUCCAAGAUCAAUACCAAAUUCUAUUUCCAUUUAGAGUUAUCGCUUCACUCAACAACAUUAACACCAUCAUUUGAAUAGUUUGCAUGCUGACUUAUAUGAGAAUAGUUUAACUUAAUGAAUGUGCCUUUGAAGAAAGUAUGGGAAAAGAAAAAAAAUAAAUUUCCUUAUACUUUGCCAAAAUGUAGUUUAUAUUAUGAAAACUCAAUAAGUAAAUAUAAGUAUAAAUUACACUUACAGGAUUUUAAUCUACAGAGAGUGCAAAUUUUUAUUAUGUUGUUAGGAUUGUACACAAGGAAAAAAAUCCGUACUAAGUGACUUUUGAAAAAAAAAUAUGGACUUUGAAAAUUGGAAAUUAAACACUCAGGAGAUAAUUGCUUUUUUCCUUUAAAAAUAAAACUAAUAACAUUGGGUUUCGUAUUCUUUUUCUUGUUACAAACAAAUGACACAUCUGACAAGUCGACUGAUAUAUUUGACAAGAAAUGUAAGUGGGUAUUUAAAGUAAUAUGAUGUAUACUGCAUAAUAUAAUGGUAUUUUCUAUUCUAUGACUGACUUCCUUCACUCAAAACAUGCUAUUAGGUCAUUGUUUUAUUGUAAUCUUUGGAAAAAAGUUUACCACAUCACACUACAAUUUGUACUUUACUGAUUAGUAUAACAUAUCUUUCAAAUAAAUGUUUUCUGAUAAAAUCA